GAUGUACAAGUCAGGAUGACCUGAAUUAGAGCCCAAACCCGUCCCGUCGAGGUGGUUGGCAGCCUCAAUAAUUCUGAGAAGCUUUUCUGGGAGCCAUAUUUAUUUAUUUAAUAUAGACUUAAAUGGCAUUCCUUAAACCACUACUUUACCAGGCCAUCAGUGCAUGUUACGCUUAAAAUCAGUGCGUCCUACCGCCGCCUGGUGGCAAAACAUACAAAUCGCAACACGCAUUUGCAGAUCUCUGCUGCGGUUGAACUGUAGUAAAAUUCACGUGUAAAAAGAGUGUGAAUUGAGAGGCCUGUCUGAAUUGUAACUGAUGACUUGUCGGUAUAAGCAUUUACAGAUUUGUCUACACAUUCACAGAUAUAUGUACCCAUUUACAGAUUUGUCUACACAUUCACAGAUAUAUGUACCCAUUUACAGAUUUGUCUAUGCAUUUACAGAUUUGUCCAUACAUUAACAUAAUCUGAAUACACAUUUGCAGAUUCCUGUACACAUUCACAAAAUCAGUAUGCAUUUACAGAUUAAUUUACACAUUUACAAAUCUGAUUACACACACACAGAUUGAGAUACAGUUACACAACUCUCCACACACAUUUGUAAAUUGUUUUGCUACAAUAAUGCCCCCAUAAUCAGGGAGCUGUCUGUGGUGUUAAACAUCUCUCACAGCACCUCAUUUCACUAGGCACCAUGUUUAUACAGACAAAAACAUUUAUUUUCAAUGAAAAAACCCUACUUACUGCACGUUUAAUAAAAGAACUGUAAACCCUCCCCAAGACUACAUUUGAAAAAGCAGGCUGUCAAAGAACUUUCAAUGCCGAAUGACUUGCUGAGUGACUGACUACAGGGGCCCUUGUUAAAUAGCGUAGUGGUUAAAGACACGGACUGCCAUACAGGGGAUCGGAGAUCAAGCUUUGCCAUAGUCAAAACUAAUAAUUAAUUAGGAUUUGUUCAGGACAGACCAAAACUAUGCUGGCUUGAACCAGCAGUAUCUAUGUUAUAGUAAGCCUAAAAUAAAACUCUUUAUGGUCAAAUUGCGACUAUUUCUGUUGGAUUUUCAAAGAACGCAUCUGUGCAUGCUUUUUUGGGUAAUACAGAUCACAACCCAUUUGGCAGCAAAAUAGGUGUUUCCACAAUUCUCUUGUCUUUUCACUUGACAAAAAAGUCAGUUAUCGUCACCUAUAUUGAUAGUUUUUGUAUCCAUGUUAUUCUUGAAUGAAAGAAAAAAUAACGUUGUUGUGCCAUGAAUUUAAAUAGCUUGGCAGAGUAAAGAUAAUCUUCAGUCCUCUAGCAAUUGCUCAAUUCUUAUGACUAUUCCAAGUAGUAAAUUAGUAGAUACUAGUAAGCCUAUUACUAUAUAAUAAGCUUUUAAAACGGCCAGUGCCAAAAGCCACACAGUUCAUGGAUGCUGUUUGUGGUGGAAGUGAACUUAAGGAGAAAUAAUAAUCAGUUUAACACAGUGCUUAAUGGUGUCUAGUUAAAUAUUUAAACUUGGUGUGAUGUUAAUGCAUGACAAAAUGAUCUGAUGUUGGGUCAGAGGUUCUCUAGGAUCAGGUAAACGGUCAGUGUCAGAGGAUCUCUAGGCCCAGGUAAACAGUCAGUGGAUCUCUAGGAUCAGGUAAACAGUCAGAGGAUCUCUAGGACCAGGUAAACAGUCAGAGGAUCUCUAGGACCAGGUAAACGGUCAGUGUCAGAGGAUCUCUAGGACCAGGUAAACGGUCAGUGUCAGAGGAUCUCUAGGACCAGGUAAACAGUCAGUGGAUCUCUAGGACCAGGUAAACGGUUAGUAUCAGAGGAUCUCUAGGACCAGGUAAACGGUCAGAGGAUCUCUAGGACCAGGUAAACAGUCAGAGGAACUCUAGGACCAGGUAAACAGUCAGAGGAUCUCUAGGACCAGGUAAACAGUCAGAGGAACUCUAGGACCAGGUAAACAGUCAGAGGAACUCUAGGACCAGGUAAACAGUCAGAGGAUCUUUAGGACCAGGUAAACAGUCAGAGGAUCUUUAGGACCAGGUAAACAGUCAGAGGAUCUCUAGGACCAGGUGAACGGUCAGUGGAUCUCUAGGACCAGGUAAACAGUCAGUGUCAGAGGAUCUCUAGGACCAAUCAAGUGAACCAAGUUUGUU
ensembl:lncRNA